UCUGCACAUUAUUAAAACCCAGAGUUUAGGCCAGUUUUGGGCCAAUGAACUUCUGAGUGUCGGAAGUGUGCUACAGUAUGUUGGGCAGGAUUUUCGCUAACACCAGUAGAGCUUGUCUCUGUGACUGGAGUUUGAUAGUAGUCACUGCCACAUUU
ensembl:snoRNA SNORA62 Small nucleolar RNA SNORA62/SNORA6 family